rnacentral:rRNA from 1 species
UACGUAGGGGGCUAGCGUUGUCCGGAUUUAUUGGGCGUAAAGAGCGUGUAGGCGGCCAGGUAGGUCUGCUGUGAAAACUCGAGGCUCAACCUCGAGAUGUCGGCGGAAACCAUCUGGCUAGAGUCCGGAAGAGGAGAGUGGAAUUCCGUGGUGUAGCGGUGAAAUGCGCAGAUAUCAGGAAGAACACCCGUGGCGAAGGCGGCUCUCUGGGACGGUACUGACGCUGAGACGCGAAAGCGUGGGGAGCGAACAGG